rnacentral:rRNA from 1 species
GUGCCAGCCGCUGCGGUAAUACGUAGGUGGCAAGCGUUGUCCGGAAUCAUUGGGCGUAAAGGGCGCGCAGGCGGUUCGGUAAGUCGGUCUUAAAAGUGCGGGGCUUAACCCGUGAUGGGAUUGAAACUGCCGGACUGGAGUGUCGGAGAGGAAAGCAGAAUUCCUAGUGUAGCGGUGAAAUGCGUAGAUAUUAGGAGGAAUACCAGUGGCGAAAGCGGCUUUCUGGACGACAACUGACGCUGAGGCGCGAAAGCCAGGGAGCAAACGGAUUAGAUACCCCGGUAGUCCUGGCCGUAAACGAUGGAUACUAGGUGUAGGAGGUAUCCGACCCCUUCUGUGCCGGAGUUAACGCAAUAAGUACUCCCGCCUGGGGACGUACGGCGCAAGGUUGAAACUCAAAGGAUUGAC